rnacentral:misc_RNA from 1 species
AUUGUGGCAACUGUUGAAGAGUACUUCUUCAGGAUUGUAUCUGCAUAUUUGAAGAAAAAAGAGGACAAUAUUCCUUGGGCUGCAUUGUUACAUAUUAGAAGCAUGGUUGCCUUAGAAUGACCUUGAAGGAUGUCAAAGCUACUGGGACCUUUGACAACGGCAGUUCCCAAUAUUGCUAGAAAAUUGAAGAUAGCACCAUACCCAUACAAAAACAAGUUCUGAAGAUAUAUGCUUGUAUCAUAUUGGCUCUUCA